UGAAACUUGACUACACAACAUAAAUCACUUUUUAAAUUCCAGGAACGGGUAAUCUGACACAGUGAUUAUCCUUUUGAGGCUGAAUCUGUUAUUAACUUGUUAUUUAGGUUUUUACUCCCAGUAGGAAGGGAUUCUAAGUCAGUUGCACUUACAUGAUUAUUGUUAUUUAAAACUAAAAAUAAAGGAUGCAUUUUCAAAGAUAAAUUGGAGUUGCUAUUGGUGAAAUACAACCAAAAUACUGAAUCUGAUGUACAUAUAGGUUUCUACAGGAAGAGAUAUUAUAAUUUAGAAUUUGGAAUUUAAUAACCAGGGCUACCCAGAAAAAGUGACUUGAUAACAUGGUACCAAUAAGUAAGGGAUGCUCUCUCUGUUUGCUUUUGCCACUUUCAAGAUUUUAACUUCUCAGGUUAUUAAUCAAAAUUAUUGUAUAAGUUAGCCAAUAGAAUUUUUAGGUUAAAACAACAGAUGGGGGGUUUUUGGAGUGUUUAAUGUCAUGGGCAUUUUUAGUAGCAUAGACCCUUUGUUCUGCAUUUGAAUGUUUCGUAUAUUUUUGUUUCACAGUUAAUCUUUCCUCCCCAAGUUUGCUAUUCAAAUUUGUAAACUCAAAACUGAGCAGAAGUGACUUUACUUUUCUCAAGUUUGAUACUGAGUUGACUGUUCACUUAUCCCUCACCCUUCCCCUUCCCUUUCCUAAGGCAAUAGUGCACAACUUAGGUUAUUUUUGCUUCCGAAUUUGAAUGAAAAACUUAAUGCCAUGGAUUUUUUUUCUUUUGCAAGACACCUGUUUAUCACCUUGUUUAAAUGUAAAUGUCCCCUUAUUCUUUUGAAAUAAAUUUCCUUUUGUAAUUUAAAAAAAAAAAAAAAGAAAA
rnacentral:lncRNA from 1 species